GGCUCUCGUGUGUGCUGCUCCGAAAAGACACAGACCCUCAACCAAAAAAAGCGGUGGCGUCGUCUCACUGGGUGUGUUUGGUUUGUUCGCCUUCAGGAAACCUCUCAGUCAUUUACAGGAGUGUGUAAAACAUAAACGAGCUUAACGAGGAAGAAGAGGAUGAAGAGGAGGAGGAAGGUUGCUAAAUACUCCUGAACCCAGUUACCCCUUCAUCACCUUGAGAUAAAUAAAUAAAUAAAAAUAU